UACGUAGGGCGCAAGCGUUAUCCGGAAUUAUUGGGCGUAAAGAGCUCGUAGGCGGUUUGUCGCGUCUGCCGUGAAAGUCCGGGGCUUAACCCCGGAUCUGCGGUGGGUACGGGCAGACUAGAGUGCAGUAGGGGAGACUGGAAUUCCUGGUGUAGCGGUGAAAUGCGCAGAUAUCAGGAGGAACACCGAUGGCGAAGGCAGGUCUCUGGGCUGUAACUGACGCUGAGGAGCGAAAGCGUGGGGAGCAAACAGG
rnacentral:rRNA from 1 species